GCAUAGGUGAGCCAAGUCCUCUGCCUGAGCUACAGGCUUCCAUAAUAUAACCUGCCCUGCCCUGACUAAAGAGAGUGAACAAUGGGAGGCCUCAAACUCAGAAUCAGUACAACAUUGAUGAUUCCUCCAAAUUUGGCUUCUAAGUUGUGAUGGACCCUGUAAUGCCUGGACCAGAGUUGAAGCAGGAGAAGACGGAUACAUGGUGGAAGUGAAUUACAAAGUGAGGUGUAAUUUAACAAAUGACUAAGUUUGAAAAAUGACUAAUAAACUACUUGCAAACAGAAGUAAUCAACAAGGAUACACAUGAAAAGGAAACAAAAGCCAACAAGCACUUAUGAGUCCACUUAAGAAGGAAAAUAAAAACGUUUAAAAAUUACAAAAAUAUAAGCAGCUAAACCACCACCGGGCCCAAGUGUACAGCUCCUUUCCCAGGACAGGAAAACAUGUCCAAGAUCUCCAGCCCAACCCUCAAACAGAGACAUGUUUUUGACUCAGGUACCCUACAUAAUAAUGAACCUGAAGAUGACUUGCUACAAAUGGCUAGGAAGCCAUUCAGGACAUUUCCACUGGUCUUUCUUUCAACAUGCCACAAUGACAAUCAAUGGAUUAUGAGAUUACUAGGGAUAUUGAGACCCUGGGAGGACAUACAGAGAGAGUUCAACAUUUAUCAGCUGUACUCAAAGCAGACACCAUUGCCUAUACCCGUAAAGUUACCGAGUUUAAAAAAUGCUCUUUAUUUGGUGUGACUGGUAGGAUAUUUAGACUUGACUAUCCUUGCUUCCCACAUGGAACUUAUUCCACUGGAUAAAGGCAAGCACUUGGCAUUUUGCAUACAUCGUGUUGGUUAUUUUAGCAUAUAAUUCCUUUGAGGAAGAAUAAUGAUAACAAGCACCAGAGACUAUUAUCACACCAGAAGGAACAAACCGACUAUGCAUGAUUCUGGCACAUACAUCUGUGCAAACUGACCGAAGAAACUUCUUCAGGAAAUGUUCCAUCUCCAUGAUGACACCUCAGGCCUGGAAUACUGUAUUCCAGAUUCUUGGUUCAUUCAGCCCCAUGAGGUCAUUGCCGUUUCUGCCAAAACACAGGGUCUAUAGACAUUGAUCAUACAUGAGGGAUGCAUGGCUCCAGAGACUCAACAGACUUCCUGAUGCUUUAUUUAUCAUUUGCUUUUUUCCAAAAUGUUAACAUACAGAAACCUGAGAAACAACAAUGGAAGCUAAUUAUGAAGAUUACUGGACUCUUUGUUUUGUUUUGUUUUGUUUUGUUUUUCAUUAAUAAAAGAAGAAAUACCUCUCCCAUGGCCAUGAAGCACAUUCUCCCACUUGACACUGAUCAGGUUUGGGUGAUGCCAUACAAUGAUUGGCUUAGCUCAAAGUUCAACAGCUCCAACCCUACUAUGACCCCACUUGCAACAUUUUGUUUGAAAGUGAUUGCAUUUCCUUUUAUUUCUGAAUGUGUUUUCAACUUGGUGCAUACCAAACCUGGAGAAAAUAUAAAUUUGGGAAAAUAUGUAUAUGCCACAGGGAUCACAACAAUUUCCUGUGAUCUAUACUAUUUCAACCAUUUUGCUUAAUAACUGUAUAUUCUAGUGCCUAAGAUUUAUUUUCCUGCAUUUAUUUGCCUAUGAGUAAUUUGAGUAUAUAAUGUAUAUUUUCCUUUCCUUUUGUGGUCUGAAUUUGAAAAUUGCUGUGAAAUUGUUAAUAAUUCCUAUAUGUGGUCCCCAUCACUGUGUAUGCCUCAAAGGACUAGGUGAUGGAAUGUAAUAAACAUGGGGAGAAGGCUUUUGAUUUUGCUUUUUAUUUUAUUAAAAGUUUUUUAUUUAUUUUA